rnacentral:rRNA from 1 species
CUACGGGCGGCUGCAGUGGGGGAUAUUGCACAAUGGGCGAAAGCCUGAUGCAGCAACGCCGCGUGAAGGAUGACGGAUUUCGGUCUGUAAACUUCUAUCAGCAGGGAAGAAAAUGACGGUACCUGACUAAGAAGCCCCGGCUAACUACGUGCCAGCAGCCGCGGUAAUACGUAGGGGGCAAGCGUUAUCCGGAAUUACUGGGUGUAAAGGGUACGUAGGCGGCUGAUCAAGUCAGAUGUGAAAGCCCGGAGCUCAACUCCGGGAUUGCAUUUGAAACUGGUCGGCUAGAGUGCAGGAGAGGAAAGUGGAAUUCCUAGUGUAGCGGUGAAAUGCGUAGAUAUUAGGAAGAACACCAGUGGCGAAGGCGGCUUUCUGGACUGUAACUGACGCUGAGGUACGAAAGCGUGGGGAGCGAACAGGAUUAGAUACCCUCGUAGUC